AACCUAACCUAGCCGGCCCACUUGGCCCAUCUCCCCAGCCGCCGUCCCUGCCCUAUCCUCCCUCAGGCCACCGCCGCUCUCCCCUGGUAGCCGUCGCCUCUCCCUGCUCUGCUCCUCUCUCUCCCAAGCGGCUCUCCCUCUCUCUCCUCGCUUCUCUCCCCUCCUCUUCUCCAGCCGCUGCUAGGCAACCGGCCGCCGAGCAGCGCAGCCACGCUGUUGCUCUCGCCAGGACGCCAGGAACCGCUGCCAUGGCUGCAGCAAAUCUGAGCACAGUUGGCUUCUUUGCAGUUUGCAGGCUAAAGUGUGUUCCUACUUCCUCCUGUAUACACAGUUUAUUCCUGCAUUUUUUGGGGUGAUUAAUUCCUUUUUCAAGGAACGUGGAUGCGGGCGAUAAAUUGAAGCUGUGGGUACUCUGUUUUCUGAAAGACAAAUGAUAGCUAUUCAAGGAGCUAGAGGCUGCUCAACAUAAAGCAUCAACAGCAACCUCUGGAACAGCUGAAAAUGCUCUACUGGAAGCUAAGUCAGUGACUGAUCUUAAAUCUAAAGAUUUGGAGGAGAAGAAAAGGGAGCUUUGUUCACUGAUACAAGAAGUUGGAGUGCUUUUGUGAAGGCUUUUGUGAAUCACUUGAAGCGUUAGUACUUUUGUGAAUGAUUUUGUAAAGUGUUUGCAAAUAUGUGCAAAACAUAAUAACAUGUGUAGGUUUUGUGAAUGA